CAAUUGGUCAAGCCAUGGAUAUUUUGCAACCUCUUUGCAAUGGAGUUGGAAAUCUGAACGAGGCUGCGUAUCGCUCAACCUAGAGUCAUUUAUCUUUCAUUUUUGCAACUGAAUACUCAUCCGCUUUUUGUCGAGCUUAUUCAGGCACCGCUCGUUCAGGCAGGUUGUUUUGGCACCAUACUGGGGCAGCUACAUUAUGUAGACUUCCCUGCUUCUAUAAUACUAAGUUCUUCCCCUUCGCCCAGUUAGAUUUAGGAGCACUUGUUGGACACGCUCUUUCAUCCGGUUUCUGCAAUACAAAACUGUUAGCGUUAGUUCCUUUUGAGGUUAUCUACAACUUUCAUCUUUAACGUUUGUAAUGGCAUCCCUAGUUGAGAAAGUUGAAAAUAAAGCCGAUUCUGGCAUCAGUACCUUUUCUGCUAGAUUUGCACUUUUAUCUUCUUCUUUGAUUCCCCCCUCUGCCCCCUUCCUUCAUCUACAGUACGUUCUCCCCCUAACCGCCUUUCUAUAUUUUUUCCCUACUUUUUCCAAGUCAGCCACCUUUUCAUCCCUCCUUCCAUCUCAAACACCCAUGCUAUUCAAGCUCAAAAUAGUGUAUCGUUACUAGUAGAAAUGUUAUCCUUAUCCCAAUUCAUUGCAUACUUAUUGCAGCCGUUCCACACUUACUAAUGUACAAUUUUUCGCUCGAUAGGCUAGGAAGUCUGUCAUCUUCACCAGCAAAAUUCCGUGAAGAUAGAGUAAUACGUCUUUAAGUUAACACUUUGACAGGUUUUGAUUCAAGACCAGCUUCAGCUUUUUGGAUGUUCGAGUACCAUCUUAUCUGAAGCACUAGAGUAGAAGUAACCACCGGGCCCCGCUAUGGAUCACUGCACAUGAAACGGAGUUGGCAGUCCUGGGGAUUCGCUUGAUUUGUCAUGCUUACAAUGAUGUAAUCACUAAAGCUGGACUCAAGUUGCAAGCAUCGAAUUGUUGUUUGUUGAAGACGCGUAAAUUUUAUAUUCAUCGUCUAUUAUUGUCUAAAAUAAUCCAAGAGGGCUGUAGUGCCAAGCCGGUUUUGAAGCCGAUGAUAUGAUCUAGAGGUAGAAGCCUCUCACUGUCUGAAUGCAUGGAAUCUGGUAUUUAGUUCUGCUCGCUUUUUUCCCAAAAAGAACAUUAUGCAAUGAUUCUCACCGUGCGGAAACAUUCCCGGAAAUAGCCUAUUUUCUUGGAACGAAGCAUCCUGAUUUAUCUAAAGUCUACAAGAUAGGCGACUGUGAAGUAAAAAUUCUGUCUGGCAGUUGUGCAUUCAGAGUAAUACCACAGAGAGCCCAUUGCCUUACUCUUGCCAAAGUCAUUCGCAGUGUUUUGCCAAGUUACAUCAUUACAUUAUCGGACAGACCGAUUAGUGAUAUCCUACCAAUUAGCAUCACUGUUUUCUAUAUAAACACGUGUCUUGCCAAAGUAACUUUUGUAACAAAUGCAGAUGGAAAGCUUCGUGUUCUGCCAGAGCUGAAAGUAGAGUCAAUGGUUGCCGAUUUGUCAGUGCCUUUUCCGUUCGGUGAUUACGAGCUAACGGCCAGGGGGAGCUGGGAAUUUGGUGGUAAAGAUUUGACUAUAAAAUUGACAAGAAGUAGUCCGAGGGAGAUGACGCUCUCUGGAUCCGUGCGCGAAGGUUUGUCUAUCAAGACCAUCGGAAAGAAAUUUGAUGUCGACAUUCUUCCAUCCGGAGGCUUAAAUGUUCUGCUACAGAACAUCGGUCUGGACGAUUUUAAAAUGCGAAGGGUCAAAUUACGCGGGAAAAUCGAUCCAGCCUCUGGAAAUUUUGAAAUUGUUUUUGCUGGGUCACCAGAAAUUAAAGGAUUCGAAGAAGGACAUUUACGCGUGUUUGUUGUAAAAAGAGGGAGCUAUAAAAAUCUAGGUAUACUUUUGGAACUGCCAGAUUACUCACCUGUUACUCUACUCAAACGUAUGUUUGGCCCGGCCGUUAACAGGAUCACGCUGUUACGCGAUCGAAACCAGACACUUGCUCUUUUUGUUACCAGUCAAAAUUUCUCGAACUUCUCGCAAAUACUUACGGCACACGGCAGCUCUAGAUGGAUACAUCGUGACUCUGAAUUCAUCGAAGGUGCGACGUUAUUAGUUACACUACCCUUUCCUAAACGUAAAGCUUUGGACAUGAAAAUACAGAUAUUUCCAGACGGGCUCGGAUUUUCGCUGCCGGACGGUGAAAAUCUUCCAGCUGAUUUAGCUUUGACAGCUAUUUCGCCGUUGCGAGUUACGCGUAUUGAUAAAAAAGACCGCAAACUUUACGACGAUAUGGAUUCUGAACAGAGGACUAAAAAGUUCCAUCAGAUCAUGAUUCUGAAAUUCAGGUACUUUAUAUUUAAUGAUACUUAUGUAGCCGCUGCAGAGCAGCUAAACGCGAUGGAGGAGGAACUUGAAGAGAUGAUGCCAACACCUCUGGAAGAGUCGAAUACUCUUGCAGAUUUUUUGUCGGAAGAAAGUCAUGCACCGGGGCAAAAAAAUGCUUUAGACAUGUUCUUUAAAAGAAGUGAGAGACUCUCGGAACAAGAAACUCGCAAUGAAGCACCUCUAAAAGAUGGCAAAGAUACAAUAAUUCCUAAAGUUAAGAAGACAUUGAUUUCCCGCAUUGGGCUUUUAAGAAAAAGGAGACAUGUAUAGCUGUUUUUCAUAUUUGUAUAUAUAGUUAAAAGCCAGGCAUAGAAACGUAGAAAGGUUUAUUUUUAAGGUAUUCUUUGUUUCCAAUAUCAUUUCAUAAUGCUUGUAGAUAUUUUUUUAUAAUGCAAAUUCGCUUUUUUAAUGUUUUUGUCAUCAUUUUCGUUUCAUCCUUUAUUUACUAUUUGAUUCAAGAAAUUUGCGAAAUCUUUCAACUAAUGCAUCAAGGAGGACGUGCAGGAUUUACUUGAUGUCCAUGGUGGAACAUAUUUUCCACUUUCUUUGACAAGUAUACCGAUUAACGUACUAUUCCAAGGACUAUUAUAUUUUUUCACAGCAUAUAAGAUCUUUUCAAUGCAUUUCUUUGAGUUUAGGUACAAAACUUGUCUUUUCUUAGUCGACGAAUACUUGUCUAUUAUUGUUAUGAGCAGGUAAUCCUUCCUUCUAAGAAAACCAAGUUGACCUCAUAUUCAAAACCUCGUUUUCGUUUCUUGGCCACAUGUUUCAAAAUGGCGCAAAAAACAACAAGAUUUUCAAGGGUUGUUCAGAGUAGAAUUGCUUGAAAUGGUGCAGGGACUUUGAGAUUCUUACUAGGUUUGUACAUUUAUUCGACUUAUGUUGGCUUUCCUGUGAAUGAUAAGAUUUACCAUGAUGUAAGUGAAGUAAGACAAUGUAAUCAACAGGCAAACCAUUUUUCGCAUUCGUCAACUGUACCCGACCCGAUCAUCUCUUUUAUAUCGGAGCAUGAAAAGUUUUGUGCCUAGAAUAAUGCUAACAAACGACCAAAUGAGGUUAUUAUUAGCACAAAAUUCUCAGGCUAAGGAGAUUUUUUGACAUUGGCACAAAAUAUUAGGUUCACACCCAAACUGGAUAAUAAAGACGCCUAGAAAAAGAAAAGCUGCAAAUCUCCUAAAAGUUCUCUUUUCUAAACAAUCAAAUUGUCUGUUUAUUGUUCGAAAACAAUGCUUUGUUUCUUAAACUUCCAUGUACCUGCUCAGUUCAUUUCUCAGUCAAUAGCAAUGAAAAGGAUUUAAUCAUGUUGGCCACUUGACGAUCGGGCUUUGGAACCCACUAUUGUUUGGCUUACGGGUUUGACAAGGUUAUAACAAACUCGUAGAAGACUCGGAGCACAGUUACUCCCUUUUUUACUCGACACAUUCCCUACAGGAAUUGAUUAUAUCUUUAAACAAGUUCAAAACAAACGCAAACAUAAUUAUAUGAUUUUGCUAACAGUAUAACCAUCACGUGUAGUAUAUCCCUCUUGGUUGUAUUUCUUGGUUUUUUUCAUACAGCUGUUUAAACAUGAAAGUUUAUUCAUACAGCUGUUUAAACAUGGAAGUUUAUAAAUAUGUUCAGUUUUAUGUUGGAAGCUCUGAUGAAGAGAGUAGUUUAAACUUACACAAAGGAGACCCGGAAGGCAUCUUUCCAGAAGUCAGCCUUACGGGUUAAAUUGUCUUCAAAUGUUUACCCGUGAAAGAAGAAAGAAUUUAAGGAGGGUGAUAAUGGACGCUUGAAGACGUAAGGCAAUCACAAAUGCAGUUACAAGAAAGAUCACCUGAAAGGCAACCUAGUUUUGGAAGAAGCCAUGCAAAAUUGUAUUUCAAUCAGAACUUAACCUUUUAGAAAGGAGUCUUCGAUGAGCUUUUUGUUUUAUCAUGCAUGCACUCAUUUUUGUAAGAAGCUACUUGAAAUAGAAAUUUUUUGAGGUUAGCUUAAGUUUAUGAAGCUGUUUCCUUUUUAGUACAUUCACAUCCCCUUUUUGGAUCUGAGAUUUAAAUAUUUAUAAACAAACGAUAAAAAUAGCUGUUAUACUUAUCUCAUUUAAUACGAAGAGCUAGUACAGACUCAAAACGAAGCCUUUCUUGCAAUGAAAGUAUCCAAACUAAGAAAAACAAUUACACGUUUAGAGAAAAGUUUCUUACAAAAUGAGUGUAUUCUGUUUAUCAAACAUCUUUUGUAUCUAGCCAAUCUUUUAUAAGCUCUAGCAGUAGCAUGUCAUUAGAUUUAAGUUCAGGGUUUGACUCAAAGAUUGUUGAUUUUGAUUGGGACAUGUGGGGCUAGGGACAUUGGAGACCCAUAGACGAAGGUAAAAUUGCAAAAGUGAGGGGCAACUCCUCCGUGGGCUGCAAAUGACACUUUACCUCUGGCUUUGAAAAUUGGGGGCACAUGUCCCUUGUGCCCUCAACUCCUGCAUGUUUGCCUAGAUUUGCGGUAGGAAGGACAGUAUAUUGAGAUAUUGAGCUUGCCAAUAGAGUAAGGUGUGAUAAGCAGUUGUACCCAAUCUUCCAAAUUGAUUUGUAAUAAUCAAGUCAAUUAACGUCUCAGUGUAAAAGGUCAUUGGGUCAAUUUGAAUUCGUAUGCAAAAAAAUCUUAACCUACACUAAAAAAUUGUUGAUUAGGAAUAUUGCUGUAACCCAAAAUUCAUUGUUUUCUUGUUUUUAUCCGAUUUCAAAAAAACGUUUGAAGGGGUAUGGCACUAGCGCAUUAGCGGAAGCCCGCCAAAAAUACAAUGCUGACGCCAUCUAUAAGUUUUUCUAGAUUUUAACAUUUUAAAGUUAAACAUUUACACGAAGGACUGUUUUUUAAGACGGAUUGCCUUUUAAAGUUGUAAGUACCUUUUACAUUUAAAUAAAUUGAGUAACUGCACUACUUAUCUCUUUUCUAUAUUGCUGUAAUAAGAGGGGUUGUUUAUUAACUGUUAGAAAACCAAGAACUAUUCUGCGCAACGCAGUACUUGGGGAUUCUUCACCUAUCUUCUAUGAGAGUAUUGAAAUCGCCAAUUGAAUUUCUUUUGUCUGAAGCGUGAAGGCUUUGUCUUGCGUGGCUGAUAGAAAGAUUAAUUUUUCAUGCCUUCAAAUUAUAUAAAAUUUUGAUUCCGAAUGGAGUAAGAUAUGGUUUAUUUAGCUGUGAAUCCCCUCAGAUUUUUUGCAGAAUUUUUUGAAAUUCUUUUUAUCAUUUAAUUGAAGUUUCUUACCCGGACGCCUCUCACCGGUCUUGGAUCACACAAAGAAGGCCCUUUGUUUUUGAAUUCAAUAGGCAGUGUUUCAACGGAAACUUGGGUUUCUGCCCCCAAAAUUCACUCAACUUUCAUUUGCUUCGCACCAAACGAUGCAGAAGAAUUUUCUCUUUCUAAUGAUUAUUUUGGUAAAAUUCUACGACAUUUCUUCGCAAAGUUAUUCGACAUUUUAUGCAUUUUUGGCAAGGGGGAUUCAGGUUUGCAUAAAGAAGUUCAGAAAAAACAAUAGGCUUGUGAUUCCCAGACUUUCUAAAGAAUCCAGUUUUUCGCCAAUACCUCCUUCGUUAUUUAAGAUAUAAAAUUGUGAGUGGUACCAAUAAAU